UUUGCUAUGUCACUUUGAUUUGGAGGAAAUUGGAGUGAAAGAAAAGCCAGUAGCUAACUGCUCCCCAAAGUACUGAAAAACUGUAGUGUAAAGCAAGCAGAAAUGAUUCAGGGGAUUUCUCUGCAGAGGACUUUAAAGGACUGCUUGGAACAUCAUGAACAUGCAGUAGCUUGCUUUUCCUGUUGAGAAACAGUAUUAUUGAAGAAAGUAAAACAAAUAAGAUUAGAGACAGAAGUUAGUGUUUGUUGCUGUGGUCUCUGAUGAGUGCCCUAUUGAUCUUCUGUGAGAUAAAGGCUGAUGUAUGACAAAAUACCCCAUGGGCCAUGUGUUGUUAUUCAUCUGCAAGUAGAGCGACCAAUUAAAAAUCAUCUCCCCUGUGAGAGGUCAUCUGGUACUGCUGUAAUACUGAAUUUUCUGGAAGCAGCUGGGGUUAAGAAGGUAGAUGUACAGGCCAUGAUGAGAUAUCUACAUCCUGGCUAAAGUAUAGAAUUUGUACAUUUGACUUUGUCAUUUACAACCCCUCCCCA